AGUCUUGGUGCUGAAUGGCCUUGCGUACAUCAAAAGUGAACCGACAGGGCUGUGUCACUGUGUGUACAAUCAGUCAUGAUUAUUUCGAGUAUUAAAUAGUAUGCAGUCAAAGAAGGAGCUACUCUAUCCCUGAAUCAACCGAAUGGCCCUAUCAGUCUAUUGCUACAAUUAUAAGAACGGAUUCCUACUAACAUCAUGGAUGCAAUAGAGCAACCAAAGGUUCCCUCGAACCCUGUAAAGGCCACAGUCCAGCGGCAGGACUUAACCAUGGCGGGUAAACCAGCAGAUGUGGUGCAGACAAAGGAACCUGAAUAUCGGGAAGCAGGCCGGCGGAUGCGGUUCCCUUCUGGACCGUGGACGCACGGGUCGGCGUUCAAAGGUCUGGGAUGCGAACUGCUACUGGAUUUAGCUAAUAUAAUCCAGGUGAAAGAUUUCGAAAUGGAAUGUUCCAUUCGCCAUGCGAGUCAGACUACUGCUCGCGGCGGCUCCAGGGUACGAGCGCUGAUGGUCUCCAGGGUGCGAGGGAAGAGCGAUUUCAUAGUACGUGGGAUGAGAUUCACGAAGAAAUGUACAGGCAGCGAACUAUAUUCAGGCCUCCAGGUGCGCGUCGACUACACACUGUUCAACUAGGAAAUCCAGAAGCCGAGAAGCAUUCCAGUUCACCAAGCGCUGAUGUGUAUGGAACUGAGAACAUGGCUUCGAUAUUCUUUAAGAACGCUUUCGACUACAGCACACACUUUGGCACAGUCUAUGACUACAUGAGGGUGGUGUGGACACCUGACUUCGAACCCAGAUAUCACCUCCUUCCACCUUCUGCUGAGUACACGCUCAAGAUUCCUGGAAACGUUGAACUGUCAUUUGGCGCAAUGCAAGAGUUUGUCGACGCGCUUAAGUCUCACUACGUAGGCUGGGAUUAUGUGUCCAACGUUGGAGCGGAGGAGGACCGAGCGGUGCUGAACACGUACGGCAAGAUUGGUUUACGCGGAAAGAAUGGUGAAACAAUUGAACACAUCUACUGCUUCAGGAUCGAAUACAUGUGCCCCGACCUGUGGGUGAAGAAGCGAGUCUGGAGAUGGGAGCUGUCCAGAAUACUGGUAGAAGCUAGACCAUAAUAGUAACCAACACUACAUUCUACAGUUUUCAAUUACCGAGUGGGGAAGUGUGCUGAACAUGACACUGAAUGGUGUGGUUUAGACAACAACUCCUUGCUAUCGGUAACAUCUUAUCUGAGAUGUACAACUAAUGUUGUAUCUUCAAUCGUCACAAACCCACCCAGCUGGAGAAGCUUGUUUCGUUCUCUACAUUGUUUGUAUUCAACGCUUAUUUGCAGCUUCAAACCUACCGCUUUGAAUUUGAAACACCGCUGCGUUCACGGCUUCUCAUAUCUGAUAGAAUACACCUGUUACAUAUCGGCUUAAAAGCCAAAGUCAACUGAAGAAUUUCUAUAUAAAUCCGCCUCUUUCCCUUUCUUAUAGGCUGGAAAGUACUUUUGGUACACUACGGAUUGCUUUAUUUUACGAAACAUAUGUAAAUUGUUUCCUUCCUUAAAAUAAUUAUGUCAUCUCAUUAUGACAUCUAUCACUAUCAGUGUUGCCUGAUGAUUGAGAAAGCAUGAAAUUUAAAGGCAGCAGCAAACAA